rnacentral:tRNA from 1 species
UCGAUGCCCGAGCGGUUAAUAGGGACGGACUGUAAAUUCGUUGGCAAUAUGUUGUCUACGCUGGUUCAAAUCCAGCUCGAUCCA